rnacentral:rRNA from 2 species
UGGGGAAUAUUGCACAAUGGGCGCAAGCCUGAUGCAGCCAUGCCGCGUGUAUGAAGAAGGCCUUCGGGUUGUAAAGUACUUUCAGCGGGGAGGAAGGGAGUAAAGUUAAUACCUUUGCUCAUUGACGUUACCCGCAGAAGAAGCACCGGCUAACUCCGUGCCAGCAGCCGCGGUAAUACGGAGGGUGCAAGCGUUAAUCGGAAUUACUGGGCGUAAAGCGCACGCAGGCGGUUUGUUAAGUCAGAUGUGAAAUCCCCGGGCUCAACCUGGGAACUGCAUCUGAUACUGGCAAGCUUGAGUCUCGUAGAGGGGGGUAGAAUUCCAGGUGUAGCGGUGAAAUGCGUAGAGAUCUGGAGGAAUACCGGUGGCGAAGGCGGCCCCCUGGACGAAGACUGACGCUCAGGUGCGAAGGCGUGGGGAGCAAACAGG